ACGUGGCUACUCUGACGAAUACUGUGAUUCAAGACAGUUCCAAAGGACUCCUGAUGAAAAAACGCGAUCCACCUCAAGAGAGAACUGUUCUAACCAUGGGCUCCAAGAGAAUGAAACCAUUUUGGCCAAUGGACUAAACCAGUUGAGGGUGACCAACAGGUGAGUUCGAAGGAAAUCUACCCCAAGAAUGUGAAGA
rnacentral:lncRNA from 1 species